GUCCUCUCAGGGUUGUACUUGGAGAGUUUCCAAUACUCUUCCGGUCUCGGCUACGGGAGGGAGAGUCAAGCAGAGGCCUACCCAUUCCAUUCCUAGCUUGGCCAGUGGCUAGAGAGUGGAAGGCAUUCUGCUACAAGU